GACGAACCGUGCGAACGUUAUUCGGAAUCACUGGGCUUAAGGCGCGUGUAGGCGGGCCGGCGCGUCGGUGCCUGAAAGCCCCCGGCUCAACCGGGGAACCGGGGCCGAUACGGCCGGCCUGGAGGGGCGUAGGGGGACCUGGAACUUCCGGUGGAGCGGUGAAAUGCGUUGAGAUCGGAAGGAACGCCCGUGGCGAAAGCGAGGUCCUGGACGCCUGCUGACGCUGAGACGCGAAAGCCAGGGUAGCGAACGGG
rnacentral:rRNA from 1 species